ensembl:lncRNA
CUGUUAGUUACAAAGCUGAGACCAAGAAUGAGAAAUGCUGACCCACCCCAGUGACCACACUCAACAGACGUGAGUCCCUCCCUCUUCCCAGAGGACCCUGCCUUCCUGUCUGCACUGCACAUCUCCCCAGAUUUCUGGAUUGAGAGUUGGGUUUGAAUCCCAGGUCUGUAAUACACUUCCUCGGUGGCCUCCAGUAACUGAGAACCUCUGGCGUCCAUUUGCUCGCUUGAAAAUGAAGAUGGACAAACUGCUCAUGGGUUGCCAAGCAGGUUAGUGAGGCCAUAGGGAGCUGGUCACAAAGGAGGUGCUCAGUAAAGGACAGCUGUGAUGAUGCCAUCCCCCAGACCUCCAGGAUGUGAAAACCAUUUUCCUUGUAGGGGGCCACAGAACCAGCAAGGAAUAUGCUUAAUUGGAUGAUAAUGGAUGAUCAACUAAAAGCAAGUCAGCUGGAUGUAACACACACAACAGAAAAACCCAAAAUGACAGGAGUUUAAAGAGGAGAGAAGUUCAUUUCUCACCCACAUAAAGAUGUCUGCAGCAGGCAGCCCAGGGCUGAAAGGAGAACUUCACACUUUGCUUGGGGAUCCACCUGCCUGUCUAUCUGAUCUGCUUUCUUCAAUGAAUGGCUUCCAUCCACAAGAUGCGUCACAAUCCAAGAAAUCGGUGGAAAUCCAUCCUCAAGUGCCCAUUCCAGGCAGGCGGCAGGACAGCAUGUGGAAGACAAAAACGAUGCUCCUCCCAACUGGGUCAGAAGCUUGAAACUCCUUUCCAAGAAGUUCCCUGUGCCACUUCUACUUAAAUCUCCGGCCGGAAGUUCAUCUUACGGCCUCAGCAGCUGCACAGGUUGCUGGAAAAUUGUUGCCUUUUGGGUGCAUUGCCACGUUGAAUAAAACCGAGGUUCAAUUUUAUUGAGAAAGUGGGGGAGGCUGGAUGUUGAGUGGCAACAAGCAACCUCUGCCACAAAUAGACAACCUUUCCUCACUCAACAGAUGCCGCACACUCUGCAGAGGAUGGGGUGAAAAGAGAAAGAAACGAAGAAAAACACAACACAGAGCCUGAUAUUCAGGGACUCAUGGUCUGACAGGGGAGACAGAUAUGUAAUAAAUGAGUUUAUUAGAGUGAUCACUGCACUCAUAAAAGUGUGUACUGCGAAGAUGGAUGGUACAAAGGGGGCUGUUGCCCAUUGAUCCUGAAGUUUGAUGAAGACAUAUCUCUUUAAGGUAAUGGCCUUUGCAACCAUGGAGACUUUCUCCAGGAAAACUGGAAGAGUGCAGACAAAGACAGAAGUUUCUGAAGCUCGACAACAAUCAAGUAAACAAACAAACAAGAAAACUGAAAAGGUCAGAUGGUGAAAAGUGGUUUACGUAAACCUAAAAUAGGAUGAUGUGAAAAGACUGGCUAGGGGCUACUUUGGUCUGCUUAUUGCAUCUCACCCUCGUACCAGCCUUAUGAGGUAUCGGGAAACUGAAGCUCAGAGAUAUUUCACAGUUUGCCUGAGGUUAAACAGCUACUCAUUAGUGAAGCCAGGAUUCAAGUUCAGACAAUGAGACCUCACACACUGCUCUUCUCUUUAAGCAGGAGCCUGAGUGUUACACGAAGCGCCUUCGUCUGUGCAGCUGGAGGUCCCUUUGCUGUAGUCUAGCAGAUGGUGCACUACAUGGAAGGGACAGAGAUCCUGUGACUAUAGGAAAUGGUCAAGACUCUCAGACUCUCAGUAUCUCCGCCUGCAAAAUGGGUUUAUAACAUUCUCCCUCCCACCCCACAAGACCCUGGGAGGACCACCUUUAGGACUGAAUAAAGACUAUCUAGCCCAAACCCUCACUUUACAGAUAAAAAUGGUGAGACACUGGCAGGCCAUGCAGCCUCUCCGAGUUGCUCAGUGAAUUGAUGACCAAGACUGGGCUAGAAACCCAGUGUACUAGUCAGCUAAUGCCUCAUAACAAGUGCUGGAGCUUAAAGUUAAAAACAUAACCCUCCUGCAUAUAUAAAAUGAAUACAUG